rnacentral:lncRNA from 1 species
GUAAUAAGAAAAUCAACAUUUAUAGUUUUCGGUUUUUAAUUUUUUAAUUUUAAAACCAUUUUAUAUUAAAUAGUAAAAAUAAAAAUGUAAUGUUAGCGAUUUAUAUUUUUUUUAUCAAAUUAAAAAGAAAAAAUAGAAAACCACAAAGAAAAUGAAUGCACCUUAAGUGGACUAUUUUUAUUUGCUGUGUUAUAAACCAACGCUAG